GAUGAAGAACGUAGCGAAAUGCGAUAAGUAAUGUGAAUUGCAGAAUUCAGUGAAUCAUCGAAUCUUUGAACGCACAUUGCGCCCCCUGGUAUUCCGGGGGGCAUGCCUGUUCGAGCGUCAUUUCACCACUCAAGCCUCGCUUGGUAUUGGGCAACGCGGUCCGCCGCGUGCCUCAAAUCGACCGGCUGGGUCUUCUGUCCCCUAAGCGUUGUGGAAACUAUUCGCUAAAGGGUGUUCGGGAGGCUACGCCGUAAAACAACCCCAUUUCUAAGGUUGACCUCGGAUCAGGUAGGGACACCCGCUGAACUUAAGCAUAUCAAUAAGCGGAGGA
rnacentral:misc_RNA from 1 species